rnacentral:misc_RNA from 1 species
GUAUAUAACAUUUUUUUUUCAUGUAUGUGCCCCAAAAUUUUACAAACAAGUGUGAAAAAUCUGUAGUCAGAGCUACAGGGUUGUGCACAAGGUGUGAAUAUAUGGAAAAUAAGAGAAGGAUGUGCACAUGCAGUGGAGCCAGCAACAAUCCCCCAUCUUAUAAUUUUUUGUUUCAUUAAUGAUCCUUCCGCAGGUUCACCUACGGAAA